AAAAUUUUUAUCUCCUAGAUUUCUCCAACUUUAUAGUGUUAUUGUGUGUGUGUCUCUGUAUGUCUAUAUGUUAAUAUUUUUUGAAGUUUUUAGCUGGCAAUCUGUAAGUACGAUUGGAUGAACCCAAAACUCUAAUAGCCAUAAAUGGAGAGCACCAAAAGCACAGUGAGAUUUACAUGCUUGAUCUUAAAGAAAAAAACUAAGAAGUCUGAGAAAAAUAUUAUCUGUUAGGAAAGAAAUUAUUUCCAUUGGAGUGUAUCCUUUAAAAAAGUAUGUUUAUACUCUCUAUUAAAAUUGUUCAUCACCAAUGCUCUUUGGGAUUGUAUCACCCAGAAAAAGCAAUGCUUAAGGCAAAAGCUUGAAGAUUUUCUUAGCAAGAAAAAAGCACUAUGAUGUUUUCAAAGAAAAUACAGAAUGUUUCUCUAAUAAGCGCAUUAAUAAUUUGCAAAUAUGUUGUCACAUUUAGGGCAACAAUUUAUAGUACAUUUCUCCGUAAGUAUAAGAAUAUCUGCAUUAAUUUAAGGAAAACAUAAAGAAGAAAUAGACUAAGCAAAAUUGCUUGUUGAAACAGUUUUAAAUUUAAGACUUAGUUGAUUCAAUUCUUAUACUGAAUAUGUGUUGACAGCUUUUCAUAAACUAUUCAGUCAUAUUAGUUCACACAUAUGCUCAUAUUUGAAUUCAGCUUAUUGAGUUAUUUUAGGUCUCUUUUUGUUCCUUUUUGUUGCUAUAAACAGGUAGUUGGUUCAUCACUCAAUUCCAUUUUAAAUUUACAUAAGAAAAACUUGCUUAUAAGCAAUUCAGAGUAUUUUACAUGUUAACAUAUAUUACCAUGUCACAGAGUAAACUAUUCAAUUUUAGUCAUUAUCAUCAUCAUUAUCAUUGACACUGCUAGUAGGAUUACUGCUGUAAUGAUUAUUCCUGCCAUUUUUGGAAGGCAUUUUAAAUACUGUGUGUGAGAUAUACACUAGGAAAACUGGUUGCAAGUGUCACAAACAAUUCACACAAGAUUUAGCAGAAGUAAUGCAUACUGAAAGGAUAUCAGUAUUGAGUGAAAUAUACUUGAUUGUGAAGAGCUGAAUCAAGUCUUCACUCUUCCACUUGCUUUCCGUAUGACCUCAGACAAGUUACAUGACCUCUCUGUGCUCCUCUGUAGAGUUGAAAUAUUUAUAUCUCCUACUUCAUAAGGUUAUUGUGACCAGUAAAUAAUUUUUUAAAAAUCUAGAACAAACCCUACUGUUCAGUGACAUCCGAUUGCUUAUAAUACGUUACUGUUGAUAUUGCGAUUGUCCUUAUUAAGGCAUUUCCAAAUCAAAGGGAAAGUAUGCAGGUGGUCCUCAAAAAGGAACGGAGGCUCAAGGAUGAUAUGAAAAAUACAGGAAGCCCUCUCUUUCUGUCUCCCACUCUGUAUCACUCUGCACAUUUAUAGUAAUCUAGUGGAUAUUAUUAUUUCCAUUUUAAAACUGGAAAAUCUAAAGCUUAGAGAGGCAAAAUAUUUUCCCAAGUUCACACAGUAAGUGCCAUAGAUAUGAUUUUUAAAUCCAGUUGAUAUAACUCCAAGUCCAUUAUACUAAAUGCCGUAGUAGACAUUAACUAAGAUUAUGGAAACCAUUUUUAGGUACUGUCAAGUGAUGAUUUAUGUAGUUUUUGAAUUGGUUAAUUUUGAAUAAAUCUAUAAGCACUUACAGGUUCUAUGAUCAGAUCUCCAUAAGUAUAACAUUCAAUUUAUUUGUUUUUUCAGGAAGGGAGAUGGAUUUGCAUCAAUGCAAAUCAUUACCUAAAAUAUACUUCAUUACCUAAAAUAAUGAAGUAUAUGAGGCUUUUGAAACUGAACACACAUUGUCCACUAUAUUAAAACCAUGUGAUCUACCUUAUUAAUCUAAAAAGGCUAGGAUACAGGAAACUGAUAAACUAGUUAAUGAAGGCAUUACCAUCAGAGAAAUAACUGCAACAAAAUGAUUCCUGGCACCAUUGACAAUGGGCAAAAGGAAUGGAAAUAUUAAAAACUAUGAAGUGACCUGUCAGAGUUUUUAAUGAAAAUAAAGAAAAAUAUAAAUUUAGAACUUCUCAGGAGUGGCUCUAGGACAAAUUUUUUUAAAUUUAGUCUUAGGAAAAUAUUGAAAAGGGUGUAAGUCUAGUAGACUCUUUAUGUUCUAGAAGAAGACAUAUGAUUAUAUUAGCCAGAAUACUCCUCGAAGAACAAAAUAGAUACAAAUAGAUUUAUUAUGAGCUAUUGGCUUAUGCAAUUAUAGAAGCUGAAAAGUCCCUGAAUCUACUGUCUGCAAGCUAGAAACCCUGGAAAGCCGGGGUUCUAGAUGUAAGGCCUAACAGCUGGAGGGAUGAUCGUAUAGAUUCCAGAGCCAGAAGGCCUGAGAACCAGGAAUGCCAGGGUAAGAGAUCUAUGUUGCAGCUCAAACAGGAAAGAAUUCAACUUUUCUCUACCUUUUUGUUCUAUUCAGGACUUUGAUGAAUCGAAUGAUGCCUGUCAACAGUGGAGAGGGCCAUCUGCUUUACUCAGCACCAAUUCAAAUGCUAAUCUCUUCCAGAAACACCUACACAGACACACUCAAAAAAUAAUGUUUAACCAGAUAUCUAAGUGUAACUUGGCUCAAUCAAGUCACCACAUAAAAUUUACCAUUACAAUGGAUUUCUCAAUAAUUAUGUCUAAAUCAUUGGAAAAACUUGAAAUCAGCUCAUUUAUUAGAUGGCAGCUUCUUGAUGACACAAGGAAUGAUUCUCACUGAUAUGAUUUGAGGAUUGUGGGGCAAAGACCUUCUCAUGCUUACUUUUUCCCCUGGUGCCUCCUACAGCGAUAGUGAACAAAAUGAAGAUUAGUUACUUUCUGGUUAAUUGUAAAUUACGUUGUGGCAAUUAUAUACUAGAAAUCUUUCUUUUUUUUUUUUUAAGAGAUGGGGGUUUCACUACAUUGCCCAGGUUAAUCUUGAACUCCCGUCCUCAAGCAAUUUUCCAGCUUCAGCCUCUGAGACUGCUAGGAUUAUAGACGUGAGCCACCAUGACUGGUCCAGAACUCGGUUACAAUACAAACUUUAUCAUGCUGAUUGAGUCCAUUUAAGUUAAUACACUUACUGGUUUAGGUUUAAAGAAUUUGGAGGAAGUACAAAUAAAUGAAAAGGAAAGCUAAAAGUAUAUCUUAAAGGAGGACAAGUACCUUGGUUUUUCUAGACUGCUGUAAAAAAUACCAUAGACUGGUUGGCUUAUAAACAAAACAAAUUUAUUUCUCACAGUUCUGGAGGCUAGGAAGCCUAAGAUGAAACCUCCAGCAGAGUCAGUGUCUGAUGAAGACCAGAUCUCUGGUUUGUAGGUGGGACCUUCUGACGGUGUUUUCACAUGGUGGAAGGGAAAUUUGGACGCAAACAUACACAGAAGGAAGAUGAUGUGAAGACCCAGAGAGAAGACAGCCAUCUACAAGCCAAGGAGACAGACCUGGAGCAGGUUCGUCCCUUACAUCCUUGUUUGUCCAUGCCUAGGCUUCCAGUGACCAGAAAUGUAAGAAAAUAAAUAUCUGUUGUUGAAGCCACCCCAUCUGUAGUACAUUGUUACAUCAGCCCUAGCAAAUGAAUGCACCUGGAAUUUAUAGCAACCAUAAUAAUCAAGGGCAGUGGCACCUAGCAACUUGCAUGCAUACAUUUUAGUAGUUUAUGAAUAAAUUAAUCUCUAUCUUAUGAUUGUUCAUCACAGAUGUCUUAUAAUGCACAACUUACUUAUCCUUUCACAAGUAGCAGAAACAGAAGAAUUGACUAUAGAUUUUGAGUGCAUUGCAUAUGAAUAUGUGGUAUUGCUAAAAAUAUUACAGAACAUAAACAAGGAGUUCCACAUCCAGCAUGGGAGUGUUAGAUCCUAUGAUGACACCUGCCCCAGUGAAAUCAGUAAAUAUUACUUAAAAUAGUGACCACUUAAACUUUCUGAAAAUGGCCCUAAGGGCAUACAGCAAGUGAAAAAAACAUUUAUUCAAGAAAAUAUGCAAACAGUUGUUAAGAAAUGCAAAACUCUGUGUUAUUUCAACCAAAAACCCACAGCAUCCCUUCAACUUCCCAGGUCAUUGAGAGAGAAACUCCAUAUCAUCUGCUACAGCCAAAGCAACAGGGUACACUCUCCACCCAAAUCCCAGUCAGAGGAUAAUCUUCCUGAGAGGGACAGUUAUAUAGGAGUUAAUAAGAAAUUACUGGCCAGGUGCAGUGGCUUAUGCCUGUAGUCCCAGCACUUUGGGAGGCUGAGGCAGGCAGAUCAUUAGGUCAAGAGAUCAAGACCAUUCUGGCCAACAUGGUGAAACCCCAUCUCUGCUGAAAAUAC
rnacentral:lncRNA from 1 species